UUGAACGCUGGCGGCAGGCCUAACACAUGCAAGUCGAACGGAAACAUGUCUAGCUUGCUAGAUGAUGUCGAGUGGCGGACGGGUGAGUAAUACUUAGGAACAUGCCUUUGGGUGGGGGAUAACUAUUGGAAACGAUAGCUAAUACCGCAUAACGUCUACGGACCAAAGGGGGCGCUUGCGCUCUCGCCUAAAGAGUGGCCUAAGCGAGAUUAGCUUGUUGGUGGGGUAAAGGCUCACCAAGG
rnacentral:rRNA from 1 species